rnacentral:rRNA from 1 species
CCUUGGAUGAGCCCGCGGCCUAUCAGCUUGUUGGUGGGGUAACGGCCUACCAAGGCGAUGACGGGUAGCCGGCCUGAGAGGGCGACCGGCCACACUGGGACUGAGACACGGCCCAGACUCCUGCGGGAGGCAGCAGUGGGGAAUAUUGCGCAAUGGGCGGAAGCCUGACGCAGCGACGCCGCGUGGGGGAUGAAGGCCUUCGGGUUGUAAACCUCUUUUACCACUCACGAAGGCCCCUGGA